UGCAUCUAGAUUAGAGUUUGAUCCUGGCUCAGAUUGAACGCUGGCGGCAGGCCUAACACAUGCAAGUCGAGCGGAUGAGGGUAGCUUGCUACCUGAUUCAGCGGCGGACGGGUGAGUAAUGCCUAGGAAUCUGCCCGAUAGUGGGGGAUAACGUUCCGAAAGGAACGCUAAUACCGCAUACGUCCUACGGGAGAAAGCGGGGGAUCUUCGGACCUCGCGCUAUCGGAUGAGCCUAGGUCGGAUUAGCUAGUUGGUGAGGUAAAGGCUCACCAAGGCGACGAUCCGUAGCUGGUCUGAGAGGAUGAUCAGCCACACUGGAACUGAGACACGGUCCAGACUCCUACGGGAGGCAGCAGUGGGGAAUAUUGGACAAUGGGCGAAAGCCUGAUCCAGCCAUGCCGCGUGUGUGAAGAAGGUCUUCGGAUUGUAAAGCACUUUAAGUUGGGAGGAAGGGUUGUAACCUAAUACGUUGCAACUUUGACGUUACCGACAGAAUAAGCACCGGCUAACUUCGUGCCAGCAGCCGCGGUAAUACGAAGGGUGCAAGCGUUAAUCGGAAUUACUGGGCGUAAAGCGCGCGUAGGUGGUUUGAUAAGUUGGAUGUGAAAGCCCCGGGCUCAACCUGGGAAUUGCAUCCAAAACUGUCUGACUAGAGUACGGUAGAGGGUAGUGGAAUUUCCUGUGUAGCGGUGAAAUGCGUAGAUUUAGGAAGGAACACCAGUGGCGAAGGCGACUACCUGGACUGAUACUGACCCUGAGGUGCGAAAGCGUGGGGGAGCAAACGGGAUUAAAUACCCUGGUAAUCCACCCCGUAAACGAUGUCAA
rnacentral:rRNA from 1 species